GCGGAAGGGGCGUGGCGCAGAGUGGGGCGGGGCUUUGGAGGGGAAGCACUAAAAGUGCUGGGGCCAGGCUUUCGGCGCCGAAAGGGUGGCGUUUAUAUUUAGGCCCUUCGCUAAGUCUACAUUGAAGCAGUUUCCAAUUAAGUGUCCUUCAGUUUCCAUUUAUUUCGUUGAAAAGUUGUGUCAUAAAGCUAAAGAAUGAUGACGGGAGUCAGAAUGUUGGUUCACUUCUGCGAGAUGGAAAGGAAGGAACAAAAGAGUGGAAAAAAGACAAGGAAAAUCAUAACUUAAAAAAAUUAUACUUUAAAGAAGAUUUCAACCUCAGGAUACAACGUUCUCUAGAUAACCAAUAUCAUCUUCUUGAGCUUCCGUGUGUCAGUGAGUCAGCAGUGGCUUAACUCCUGGUGGUUCUGGCUGAGGGUGUUGCUGAGGUUGUUAAGAUUAGAGGUUGCCGACUAGAGUGCAGUCAUCUGAAGGCUCCUUUGAUGCUGGAGGACCCUCUUCCAAAGGGGCCCUGUGCCCCCAGCAAGUCAGAGUCUCUUCGGUCCCAGAAACACAGAGACACUUUGAUGAAGCAGAUCCUAGAGACAAGAUUCAAGAGUCAGCAACCCCUCAGUUACAGCUGGAUUGUGAUCAACAAGCACAUGGUCUAUUGCUCAAGCUUCCUGGUCGUUUUGACCAUUUCGCAAGCCAAUGGUGUUUUUGUUUUCAAGUGUAAAACACAUGAAAGGAGCUGGAGUUUUCCUCGCUCCUCACGGCUCGAGUGCCUUUUCUGCAUGCCACCUUGUGAGCCAUUUGGGCAUACUGGCUUAUGUUAUCACAGCAGUUCAACAUCUAGUCAAUUAAAUGCGAGGAAACCCAGUCGUUAGGAGAUGGGGAAUGUACAACAAUAAACAAGUGGUUCUGUUGAUUGCCUUGGCUGAAUUGAUUAAAUGCCUCAGAGACGCAGUAGAAACUCUUCAGUUUGGUUGACAGCUUUACAUUUUUGCUUUCCAGUAAUUACAGUGUCUAUUGAGCCAGUCCCUCCAAAAGAAUACUGUGAAAUGCUCUGAAUUGUUGCCUCAUUUACAGUAUGUCAUUAUCUUUAUUAUAUUUACCUGAAAUAAAGGAUUACCCAAAACAAAAUUCGAGUGCAUCCAAGACAGUGGGUGGCCUAUUCCCUGCCAAAGAUCACCUAGAGGAGUUGAAUGUGCACUCUAUAAGUAUUUCUGUGUCUUUGAUACCAUCCAAACAUGAUAUACAGUAUCAGCCCACAGAUUCACAUGUGCUUCAUUCCAAAUUGCUUUAGGCAUUGCCUCUUCUCACAGCUGCUUAUGGCAGUGAACCUCAAGAAAACGUCAAGGCCCUUCACGCUGUUUCAGACAUAGGGAGCCAGCCAUCUAUCCACCUGCAACAUGCAUCUCAUGACUGGCAGUGCUGAGCCUGUGCCCCUGCAACAUCCCAAUGUCGCACAUCAUUGGCCAUGACCCCAGUGACUGUCCGUCCCCUGGAACCCAUCACCCCUGGUCCAACUGCGGCCACAGUUGCCAUGGCUGUACCCAGCCGAUGGCCAAGCAUGAAGAAGUGCUUCUGGGAAACUCUGAUGCCUUGGUGUGGUCUGGUGUGGGGGCCCCUAAUCACCAAGGUGUCAGUAUCAGACAGUGGGGCCUCUGGGGGCUGAUUACUUAAGGAGAGCUCCUCACUCAUGAACGGAUCAGGGGCCUGUAAAAAGGUUGUGCAGGAGUGAGUUGUCUCUUCUACCACGUGAGGACGCAGUGAGAGGCCUACACCAGACAUCCAGUGCUGGUCCCUUCAUUUUGGACUUCAAAGCCCCCUGGACUAUAAGGAAAUAAAUGUUUGUUUCAUAUAAAUUACCCAGCCUGAAAUAUGCUGUCACUAGCAGCACAAAUGGACCAAGACUGUCCUUUCGUGAAUAUGUUGACUUCAGGACGGCCCAAAGGCCCGGCUCCCACAUGGGCCACUUUCUGGUUUUAGUCUGGAGACUCUUUCUGCCUGCUCCGACUCUUUCCCCUUCUCUCUUCAGUAUUUCCCGAAUAAAUCUCCUGUGCUUCCAAUCUUAGCGCCUCCUUCUCGGGAGACUCAAACGAACACAAUAACUAAACAUCACACAAAGCAAAAUCAAAAAAACCUAUGACUUAUGAGUGAAAUUUAAGUAAUAGAGAAAAUGAUACUAUAAGUAAAACUAAGAAAGAAAUCUGAAAGUUUAAUAGCUUUUUUCCCCCAGUGUCACACUUUGAAGUGUAAAACCACUUGCUGUGUCUGAAUGAUUUAUCCUUUAUACUUGGCAUGUCAAAAAUCCAAGGUAACACAGGUCUAUGAUUAAAAAUCGACUCAAAUAUUGAUGGAAUAGCUGGGGAUUUAGUUCAGCGGUUCGGUGGCCUGCCUUGCAAGCACAAGGACCCGAGUUCAAUCCCCGGUACCAAAACAAACAAACAAACAAACAAAAAAUUGAUGGAAUCAUUGAAUACUCUUUUAUGUAAAAAUGUCUAAUCUUUGAUCACUCUUACCAGCAUAUUUUAGAAUAUCUCUUU